AAACUAUUAUCAUUCACUUUCCCUUUUUCUGUCUCUCAGACUUCUUCCAUCUCUCAUCAACAUGACCCAAGCCACUGACGCAUCUCUUAAUCUUCUUCUCUCUCUACCACAACAUUACUGGGAUCUUCUAAGCCAAACGCACAAACCCUCUCUCAUCUAUUCGCUGUCUAUCACACUCCACAGCCAAAAACCCUAGAGACCAAUUCAACCAACAAGCUAAAUCCACACCCUCCCGCAUCUCAACCUUCUUCCAGUUUCUUGCUCCACCACCGAAAACCCAAGAACCCUAGAAACCCUUUCCACCAACUACAUAAAUCAACCUUCUUCCAGUUUCACGCCUACGAGACUACUAUGUGGCCAAAUGGUUAAUGAAUUCAAUUUUUAUCAUUCUUUUUAACUUAGGGUUUUGGAUUUGCAGGUAAUUGCCUCCAAAUUGAGCACGCCAGCAGCCCUCGACCUCUUCAUCCAUCUUUCAAGGACUCUAGUUGGGUUUACAUUCACAAAUUUACAAACAAAAUUAAAAACUGAAGUAAGGAACAUUAAUCAAUAACUUUAGCAAGAAUUUCUUCUAUUUUCUUGCUACAUUAUUUUGCCUUGUGAGAUUUAACUUAUACACUGCUUAAGCUAUCAUUUUAUUUAAGUUUAAAAUUUGGAUUUCAUUAUGGUCAUUUAACUUGUUGCAAUUACAGAACGACUGUAGUUGUUCUGUUUCUGGGGCUUCUGCAUUUGGGGCAUUUUGGAUGCUUGAUUGAUCCAUAUUUGGUAUUAGUUUUCAGUUACUGGUUGAUAUUUGGUUGGUUAUCACUUUUCUGAUUAGUAUUACCUAGUCAUCGUUUUAGUUUCUUUCUGUUACCUAGUUAUCAUUUGAGUUUGUUUCUGAGUUUGGUUGCUUUGCUAUAUUACCUAGUCAUCAUUUGAGUUUGUUUUUUAGUUUGGUUGCUUUGUUAUAUUACCUAGUCAUCAUUUGGGAAUUGAAAACUUAGGUCUCAUUGUUUUUUAGGAGUGUUAUAAGGAUCCUUUGGGUUUAGUUCUAAAAGCUUCUACGUUGCGCACAAGGGAAGGUAUGCUUGUAUGUUAUUUACCUUACUUUACGUGGCACGAAAUUGAUAUGCUCUAAUGGACUAGAAUUAUGCAAUCUAAUCAUAUAAUUAAACCGAGGUUCAUAAAAAGGAAUGUAGCUUUUAUGCUAUUUUUCACUGGUGGUUUGAUAUUUGAUAUUUCUUUUUCUUUUGUAUGCAAGCUAGUGAGGAACUUGUGUUGCCAAAGUUACAGUGAGCUUGAAUGAAUUUUUUCAUUUUUUUUUUUUUGGUAGUAAUUUUCAGUGAUUGGUCGAUGGUUAGUUGGCUAACUUCUCUCUCUAAUAUUUGCUCCUAUGAAGAAUUAGUUAGAUGAUGCAUGCUGUUCGUUUUAAUGGAUUCUUGGUUUCAGUUUUAGUUGAAAUUAGUCUUUGAGUUUCUUGAUGAGUUUGGUUGCUUUGCUUUAUUACCUAUUCAUUAUUUGAAAAUUGAGGAUUGGUCUUAUUGUUUUAGGAAUAGUUUGUUCGAGUUCAGUUUUUAAUUAAAUUUUGACAUAUCUUUCUUUGCUAUUUGUUGGAUGUGUGAUAAUACUCAAUUUUUUUCUCUUGUAUCUCCGCAGGUUUAUGAGAAAUUUGUGUCGGCUAUGUGACUUGCAGGCUCCAACAACCAGUAGCAAAAGCACAAGAGUCUUCGUGGUCUAGCCAGGUUUACAUUUUUUAGGAAAUGGCAAGUGGAAAUUCAAGAAAAAGUGCUACUAGGCAGCCUAAGUGUUAGCAAACAACCUCUCAUUCAAACUUGAAAGAGUUAGAUACUGAGCUUCAGGACUUGAAGAAGAGUGUGCAAAACAUGGAACUUUGAAUGUUUAUUUGAAAUUAUGAUUAUAGUUUGAAUGUUUAUUUUAAGUGGAAUAAUUCUUUGAAGUUUAGCCUUUGGAAGACUUGAACACGAAUGGUUAUUUUUAGUGUCUUCGAUUCUAGUUGGAAUGUUUAUUUUAUUAUGAAUGUGUUGGAAUUGUUAACAUUGAAAUUUGAAAUGUUUAUUUAUAA